rnacentral:rRNA from 1 species
UACGUAGGCAGCGAGCGUUGUCCGGAUUUACUGGGCGUAAAGAGCGCGCAGGCGGUCGGAUCAGUCGAAUGUGAAAGCCCCCGGCUUAACUGGGGAGGGUCAUUCGAUACUGUUCGACUCGAAGGCAGGAGAGGGAAGUGGAAUUCCCGGUGUAGUGGUGAAAUGCGUAGAUAUCAGGAGGAACACCGGUGGCGAAGGCGGGUCUCUGGGCCGAUACUGACGCUGAGGAGCGAAAGCGUGGGGAGCGAACAGG